rnacentral:rRNA from 1 species
UAGGGAAUCUUCCACAAUGGACGAAAGUCUGAUGGAGCAACGCCGCGUGAGUGAAGAAGGUUUUCGGAUCGUAAAACUCUGUUGUUGGAGAAGAACAGGGAUUAGAGUAACUGUUAGUCCUUUGACGGUAUCCAACCAGAAAGCCACGGCUAACUACGUGCC